GUACUACUGAGCAGUCCCAAACUAGGACGAAACAGCUGUUCAGUAC
rfam:Trichobilharzia regenti genome assembly, scaffold: TRE_scaffold0003496